AUUCCAGCUCCAAUAGCGUAUAUUAAAGUUGUUGCAGUUAAAAAGCUCGUAGUUGGAUUUCUGGGGGAAGUAAUUGGUCCGCUUCUUUUAUGAAGUGUGCACUAUGUUACUUCUGCCAUUCUUGCGGAGAACGGGUCAGGGCAUUCAGUUGUCGGAUUCGAUAUCUGCAUCAUUUACUGUGAAAAAUUAGAGUGUUUAAAGCAGGCUAUCUGCCUUGAAUACAUUAGCAUGGGAAUAAUAAGAUAGGGCUUUGGUGCUAUUUUGUUGGUUUGCACACCAAGGUAAUGAUUAAUAGGGAUAGUUGGGGGUAUUUAUAUUUCAUUGUCAGAGGUGAAAUUCUUUGGAUUAAUGAAAGAUAAACUACUGCGAAAGCAUUUUACCAAGGAUGUUUUUCAUUAAUCAAGAACGAAAGUUAGGGGAUCGAAGAGGAUUAGAUACCCUCGUAGUCUUAACCAUAAACUAUGCCGACUGGGGAUUGGAGGAUGUUCGUUAUAUGACUCCUUCAGCACCCU
rnacentral:rRNA from 1 species